UCACUGCCUGUUGCAAAGUGUGGGCUCCUUUCAGUGUGGGUACUUGUGUGUGCGCUUGCUAGGGGUUGACCCUUUAAAUCUGUGAGAUUGGCCACCUGCAAACUCCUUUUUUAGCCGAGGGCUAUGUCAGACAAGUUGAAAGUAAAGUUGGGCAGAUUAAUCCACUCCCUUGCACACAUUAAUAACUCUUUAGCUGCUCCAGUCUCACGGCUAUUUUCUUUACAUCUGUCUCCUUGUCUAAACUGCUGAGACCAGCUCCGGGCACAUCACUCUAUCCUGUCGUGUAAUAUCGUAGUGCAUAUAUUUUUGUUAAAUGCAAUAGUUGACACAUGGCCACUCCUGACGAAUUGAUAAACGUACAAGCGAGUGUGAUGAACGUGGUAAUUUCAACUUAAUUCACGAAGAAUACAUUAUCUGAAAGUGCCCGGUGCUAUCUGUACAGUUUCCCUGCUUUCUGAAAUGCAGGGGGCGCUCUUCCUCUUCCUGAGCUGUGGCUCACACACAGAGCCAGUGUGGGGGGUUUCACAGAUCGCACUAAAAGCACGUGUGUGGUUCAAGUACACAGAGACGGAUCAAUUCAAAUGACGGCGUUUUUACUGCUGCUGCUGCUGCUGCGGACAGAACGAAAUGAUUUGGGGGCGGCGCGAUUCCUGGCCCUUUCCCUGUUUAUCCGGCAGCCCACAACGAGCGGCCGGGGAGAGCUGAGAGAACGCAGAGCAGGAAAUGAAUAGCGACCUUCGCCGGGGCUGUCCCUGCCAAGUCCACGCUUCCUCAUCUCAUUUACUGUCUCUCUGGCCGCCAUGUGACAGCGCCGAAUAAACCUGGAGAAGGGGAGAAAACAACAACAACAACAACAACACUUCGACUUCCUCAGUAGAAGCACGAGUGAGGGGUGAUUGCUUGGAGCCUCUGAUUCCGAUUCUUUUCCACACACCCCACUGCCAUCCCCUGAGAAAGAGCUGGGGCCCUGCCCCCCCCCCCCCCCGCCCAACUCCAAUCCCCCCCCCAUUGAAAGUUUUCUGGCUCUCUGUGGGUGCAGCAACAUUGACCAGCCUGUGUGCGCAAUCCCAAAGCAGUUCCAAACGUCAAUUGUGUCCGUGCGGUGUGAUCUACUCUCGAUUUGCACACGCAAUUCGUGCGGCAAUGUCGGACGUUCAAUGGUAUUAUGCGUGGCCUAUGUUUUUCAGAAAUGGUGAUUUUCAAUAAAUCAAAAUGUCAUAAUACAAAUUGAAAAUGCUAUCAUGGUGUUUGCCCACGUGUAAAUGUUGCACUGCAUAUGAAGACAUCGCGUAUUCAACAUUUCAAACAAUAGAUAUUGCCUUACUGUGAUCUUUACAUGUGUAUUACUUUUAUCGAUCACAAAGCCUGAAUGCCGUUCGAAUUUCUGCCAACCGUGCCAGGUUUUGUGCGAAGGUUUGUUGAUGCUUAUUCUGUGCACCUCUCAAACUUUGUUUUGGUCAGCAUCGGGCAAAGCAUCAUUUAUGGAGAUUCGCAGUCCUCAUGGUUGUGAUGUUGAAAUAUGCCUCUAACGUUGUUUUUAACAGAGCCCAAUGAGGAUAAAUAAACGCUAUCUCUAACUCUCCACACCAAACACAUCUGACCUAACAGCAAGUCAAAUGGUAUCAUAGGAAAUGUCAGCAUUCUGUUAGGUUUAUGUAACUUGCUUCAAACUGAUAAUUAGCAGACCCUGAUAAUUCUCAUGGGUACCAAUUAAUGAUAAUUAAAAGGGAACACUAUGGGUAUGAAUAUGAUUCAUUUACACCCCCCCCCCCCCCUGUCCCCUCCCCUCCCUUCUGGAAGGUCAGUUCGCCAGAAUGCCACGCAUUUUCUUUCCCUCUACGUAUACGUUUUUUUUAUUUCAUACAAGCUACGUAUGAUUGCAAACACAACAACAAUUAAAGAGUGUACAGAGGGCGAUCAAUAUAUAGACACCCCACUUAAAUAAAUUAUUGUUAGAGAGAAAACAACGUUUACAUCGAAAGCCUCGACUUCGCUAUCUCCAAUCUCAACGCUGGACGCUUAUUAAAUAUUUCAAAAUUUCCCGUGAAACACUUUGCCCGACAUCCCUUUUGCAAUAUUCAAUCACCUGUUGAGAAGGAAAUGAGAGGGUAACUGGAAAUCGGUGGGGUAUCCGUAAAUGGAUCACCUCUUACUCCAUACGCUCAUUAUACAGCUGGGAGUAAAUUAAAUACAUUCUCUGUUGACACUGGGUGUAAUCUACACGUGUCAAGUUCAUUGCACUGCACGCGUUUUAUUUCUCGAAUAAUAAAGUUGAAAGUGCCCAAUGCAAAUUGACCCCAAGUACAGUACACUGAUAUUGCGUUGCGUCGUGAAUCAGCGACAAAUUAUUUCGUCUUUGCCGUCUGAGCGAUGCGGCAUCAACGCAACGCACGCGGCCAACGCAACGAGAUCAGCCACACACGAACACGCAACAUCAACAUCUGCUGGCGACGUCAAGAUCGAGAGGCGUCCGAGUGUUUUUCCUUUUCCUCUUGGCCUGCAGCGAGGUUGUGACCACUGCGAUGCGUAAGCGAAGCGACUUGGCCCGACGUGCCGCUAUGUAGCUUUGACCCCGUGUGCAUAUGUGGGAGACUUUGCUCUGAGUAAGCGGCUGCCUUUGGCAAGUUCUCUUUAUUGUUUAUAUAUAAAAUGCGCGCUGCUGCUGCUGCUUUAACACAAAAAAUAGACCGUCCAACACUUGACAAGCAACGAGCCCGGGGUUAAUGCUGUGUUUCCCUGCGCGACGAUAGGACACGUGCGCUCAGCAAUAAAUGUGUUGCCUUCACCGCUCUCGAUGUCAAUAAAAGCAGAGUGUACGCGGGGCAGAUCAGAUUUACUAACUGUUGUCUAGAAUUAGGUUUAAGAGGCUGUGACCUGAUUACAUCGGAUAUUUAUGUACGCUGCGUGUUUUAGUGCUUUGCCGCCUGUAGAGCUGUGUUUUAUUUCCCUAUGUCUGUUUUAAUUGUUGAACAUAGAAAAAAAUAAACUUGCUGGGUAGAAUAUACCAAUAUCAUGUUCUGUAUCGUUUGAAAAUAAUCAAGGUUUAUUAUACAGUUUACUAAUGAAAGAUUCACAGAGUAAAACAUAAACUUUUAGGAAACAGCAGGUGUGGCAAUGAAUUCAUCAUCGCACAAUGGCAACACAUUACGGCGCUGUGCUGUAUGUUGAACUUCUUUCGCGCCGUACGUAGCCAACCGUGCUAAUCGGAAGUGCGGUGGGAAGGAAAACAAA